UACUGCAAUUGCCAUUUGCUCCUCCAGG
rnacentral:sRNA from 1 species